GGUGAAGGAGGCAGCUGGGGCUUCUAAGUUUCUGAAUCGCUCCAUCGAAUCUCUCAUUCAUAUCCUUUGUCGGACGAAGACGAAGGAGGAACAGCGAUUGAAUUCAGUAUGCAGCCCAUGGUGUUGAAUUCCUCCCCUUAUCACAGAGCCCCGCAAACCCUUCAAUCUCCUCCUUCUUCUUCUUCUUCUUCUCGCGCCUUCGAGAUCUCCUCCUUCUUCGUCCGCCAUGUUUCGCCUUCAAGACAGCGCAGUCCUCUUUGCCGGAGAUCAUGUCGUUCCCUUCGAAUUAACUCACGCACGCCAGUUAUUAGAGCCGUCGCAACUUCCAAUUCGGCACUGGAAUUGCCGCUGACUGCAGAAAAUGUUGAAAGUGUGCUGGAUGAGGUUCGACCAUAUCUUAUUGCGGAUGGUGGUAAUGUGGCAUUACAUGAAAUAGACGGAAAUGUUGUACGGUUGAAGCUACAAGGAGCAUGUGGCUCAUGUCCGAGUUCUGUUACGACUAUGAAGAUGGGAAUUGAACGGCGUUUGAUGGAGAAGAUCCCUGAAAUAGUUGCUGUGGAACCAAUAGCAGAUGAGGAAACUGGAUUGGAGCUCAACGAGGACAAUAUAGAGAAGACGGCUUAUAAUGGACCCUUCAAGGUAUUUGAACAUUUUUUGGGAGGAAGAAGCACAAUGGUAUAGCUCAAACAGGUUCUUUGAUAUAUGUGAUUAUUGUGAAAUUAAGGGUAGGAUUAAGCUAGCAUUCUUUGAUGUAUGUGAUUAUUGAGAAAGUAAGGGUAGGAUUAAGCUAGCAUUCUUUGAUGUAUGUGAUUAUUGAGAAAUUAAGGGUAGGAUUAAGCUAGCAUUCUUUGAUGUAUGUGAUUAUUGAGAAAUUAAGGGUAGGAUUAAGCUAGCAUUCUAUGAUGUAUGUGAUUAUUGAGAAAUUAAGGGUAGGAUUAAGCUAGCAUUCUUUGAUAUAUGUGAUUAUUUUGAAAUUAAGGGUAGGAUUAAGCUAGCAUUCUUUUUAUUCAACUUCGACAAUACUUCAGAUUGGCUUCGUUUUUUGAUAAGAUAUUACCCAUUUAGUAGGUCAUGCCUCUGUCUCCGUAGUUUUUUUUUUUGGUACUUCAGCCUUCCAUUUCUCAUUUCUCUGUGACCGAAGGAACGAAUGGGUUUUCGAAAUCAUCCUUAUUCGGAUAAGGACUGCCAAGAAAGCAUAUGGCAUGAUUACAUCUUCAUUUCGUUCUUCAUAGAAAUAUCAAUUAAGUGCAUCCAAGGCCCGUGUGUCCGAUUUUUUAAUCCGGGUGCUACUCUACAUGGUAUUGGUCCAAAACUGCGACCAGCUUGGUUAAGCUUGCAGCAUUUGUAGACAAUGAACCUGAUAGUAAUGCAACACAACGCUUGAAUUUGCCUGUCAUCAUAUGAAACCCAAGGGGCUGUAUAAUCGAAUCGUACUGGUACUGGAAGAGAUAAGACCUUAUCUUGUCGGGGCAGCGGGAGGAUCUCUCGAACUCGUGGGUAUCGAGGAGCCAAUAGUUAAAGUUCGGA